GAUGAACGCUGGCGGCGUGCCUAAUACAUGCAAGUCGAGCGAACAGACGAUGAGCUUGCUCCUCUGACGUUAGCGGCGGACGGGUGAGUAACACGUGGAUAACCUACCUAUAAUACUGGGAUAACUUCGGGAAACCGGCGCUAAUACCGGAUAAUAUAUUGAACCGCAUGGUUCAAUAGUGAAGGACGGUUUUGCUGUCACUUAUAGAUGGAUCCGCGCCGCAUUAGCUAGUUGGUAAGGUAACGGCUUACCAAGGCGACGAUGCGUAGCCGACCUGAGAGGGUGAUCGGCGACACUGGAACUGAGACACGGUCAAGACUCCUACGGGAGGCAGCAGUAGGGAAUGUGACGCAAUGGGCGGAAGCAUGACGGAGCAACGCCGCGUGAGUGAUGAAGGUCUUCGGAUCGUAAAACUCUGUUAUUAGGGAAGAACAAAUGUGUAAGUAACUAUGCACGUCUUGACGGUACCUAAUCAGAAAGCAACGGCUAACUACGUG
rnacentral:rRNA from 1 species